GAAGGAUCAUUACCUAGAGUUGUAGGCUUUGCCUGCUAUCUCUUACCCAUGUCUUUUAAGUACCUUCGUUUCCUCGGCGGGUUCGCCCGCCGAUUGGACAAAUUUAAACCCUUUGCAGUUGCAAUCAGCGUCUGAAAAAACAUAAUAGUUACAACUUUCAACAACGGAUCUCUUGGUUCUGGCAUCGAUGAAGAACGCAGCGAAAUGCGAUAAGUAGUGUGAAUUGCAGAAUUCAGUGAAUCAUCGAAUCUUUGAACGCACAUUGCGCCCCUUGGUAUUCCAUGGGGCAUGCCUGUUCGAGCGUCAUUUGUACCUUCAAGCUCUGCUUGGUGUUGGGUGUUUGUCUCGCCUUUGCGUGUAGACUCGCCUUAAAACAAUUGGCAGCCGGCGUAUUGAUUUCGGAGCGCAGUACAUCUCGCGCUUUGCACUCAUAACGACGACGUCCAAAAGUACAUUUUUACACUCUUGACCUCGGAUCAGGUAGGGAUACCCGCUGAACUUAAGCAUAU
rnacentral:rRNA from 1 species